UUUGGUCACCCGUCGAGGGUGCCAAGAGGGAAGCCGGUGAGAGUCCGGCGCAGUCCCGCUGCUGUAAGCUCGUUUGCUGAAGCCCAAUCUGUUAAGUCACUGUGUGCCGCCAUAGGUAUAUGGGAAGACGGGGUGGAGGAGAGCAAGCCAGAAGACCUGCCAAAUCGCA
rnacentral:ncRNA from 1 species